GUUUGAGUUGAGUAUUUUGUCUUGAUAUCGUACAAAGUAAGAAUAUUUCAUACAUCGUCUCGCUUCAGAUUCUAUCAUAUUUAUAUAUUAAAGCUACAGGUUGACUUUAUAACACAAAAAAUCACAGUACUAAAAGAUGAAAUAUAUGGGUCAAGUGAAAUACCUAUCUAAUGAGUCACAAAAACAGAGAAGGUGUGUUCGAAUAGCUAUUUUUUUUACUGAAAGUACUUGACGACAGUCUUUCAAGUUGGAUGAUGAAAAUGCAUAUCUUCGAAAAAUUAUAAUUUUUUUGUGUGUGAUAACUAGGGUUUAUAGUCUUCAACCACUAAAAAAAUCUAGUCUGCCCUUCCACGAAAUAUUUAAUUAGAAUUUUUUUUAAAUGUUUAUGAAUUUUCGAAAAUUCCACCUGACAACCGA
rnacentral:lncRNA from 1 species